AUGGGCGAAAGCCUGAUGCAGCAACGCCGCGUGAGGGACGACGGNCCUUCGGGUUGUAAACCUCUUUUAGCAGGGAAGAAGCGAAAGUGACGGUACCUGCAGAAAAAGCGCCGGCUAACUACGUGCCAGCAGCCGCGGUAAUACGUAGGGCGCAAGCGUUAUCCGGAAUUAUUGGGCGUAAAGAGCUCGUAGGCGGUUUGUCGCGUCUGCUGUGAAAUCCCGAGGCUCAACCUCGGGUCUGCAGUGGGUACGGGCAGACUAGAGUGCGGUAGGGGAGAUUGGAAUUCCUGGUGUAGCGGUGGAAUGCGCAGAUAUCAGGAGGAACACCGAUGGCGAAGGCAGAUCUCUGGGCCGUAACUGACGCUGAGGAGCGAAAGGGUGGGGAGCAAACAGGCUUAGAUACCCUGGUAGUCCACCCCGUAAACGUUGGGAACUAGUUGUGGGGUCCAUUCCACGGAUUCCGUGACGCAGCUAACGCAUUAAGUUCCCCGCCUGGGGAGUACGGCCGCAAGGCUAAAACUCAAAGGAAUUGACGGGGACCCGCACAAGCGGCGGAGCAUGCGGAUUAAUUCGAUGCAACGCGAAGAACCUUACCAAGGCUUGACAUAUACGAGAACGGGCCAGAAAUGGUCAACUCUUUGGACACUCGUAAACAGGUGGUGCAUGGUUGUCGUCAGCUCGUGUCGUGAGAUGUUGGGUUAAGUCCCGCAACGAGCGCAACCCUCGUUCUAUGUUGCCAGCACGUAAUGGUGGGAACUCAUGGGAUACUGCCGGGGUCAACUCGGAGGAAGGUGGGGAUGACGUCAAAUCAUCAUGCCCCUUAUGUCUUGGGCUUCACGCAUGCUACAAUGGCCGGUACAAAGGGCUGCAAUACCGUAAGGUGGAGCGAAUCCCAAAAAGCCGGUCCCAGUUCGGAUUGAGGUCUGCAACUCGACCUCAUGAAGUCGGAGUCGCUAGUAAUCGCAGAUCAGCAACGCUGCGGUGAAUACGUUCCCGGGUCUUGUACACACCGCCCGUCAAGUCAUGAAAGUCGGUAACACCUGAAGCCGGUGGCCCAACCC
rnacentral:rRNA from 1 species